rnacentral:rRNA from 1 species
AUUGAACGCUGGCGGCAGGCUUAACACAUGCAAGUCGAGCGGGGUGAUGGUGCUUGCACUAUCACUUAGCGGCGGACGGGUGAGUAAUGCUUAGGAAUCUGCCUAUUAGUGGGGGACAACAUCUCGAAAGGGAUGCUAAUACCGCAUACGUCCUACGGGAGAAAGCAGGGGAUCUUUAUGACCUUGCGCUAAUAGAUGAGCCUAAGUCGGAUUAGCUAGUUGGUGGGGUAAAGGCCUACAAAGGCGACGAUCUGUAGCGGGUCUGAGAGGAUGGACCCCCACACUGGGACUAGGUAACGGCCCAGACGCCGACUGGAGGCAGCCAGGGGGAAUAUUGGACAAUGGGGGGAACCCUAAUCCAGCCAUGCCGCGUGUGUGAAGACGGCCUUAUGGUUGUAAAGCACUUUAAGCGAGGAGGAGGCUCUUUUGGUUAAUACCCAGAAUGAGUGGACGUUACUCGCAGAAUAAGCACCGGCUAACUCUGUGCCAGCCGCCGCCGUAA